UACGUAGGUGGCAAGCGUUGUCCGGAAUUAUUGGGCGUAAAGCGCGCGCAGGCGGCCUUUUAAGUCUGAUGUGAAAGCCCACGGCUCAACCGUGGAAGGUCAUUGGAAACUGAAAGGCUUGAGUACAGAAGAGGAAAGCGGAAUUCCACGUGUAGCGGUGAAAUGCGUAGAGAUGUGGAGGAACACCAGUGGCGAAGGCGGCUUUCUGGUCCGGUACUGACGCUGAGGUGCGAAAGCGUGGGGAGCAAACAGG
rnacentral:rRNA from 1 species